GCCUCCUGACUAACCAUAAGAGGUCAAGCCUGCCCAGUGACAUUGUUCAACGGCCGCGGUAUCCUAACCGUGCGAAGGUAGCGUAAUCACUUGUUCUUUAAAUGAGGACUAGUAUGAAUGGCUUCACGAAUGCUAUACUGUCUCCUUUAUCCAAUCAGUUAAACUAAUCUCCCCGUGAAGAAGCGGGGAUUUUUCUAUAAGACGAGAAGACCCUGUGGAGCUUUAAACAUCUUUUAACAUUUGAACUUCUCACUUUACUUUCAGAAAAUUAUACUAAGCCCAUCAUUUUGUUUAAAGUUUUAGGUUGGGGUGACCCCGGAGAAAAACAUACCCUCCACGUAGAAAGAAGUUUCCUUUCUAAGCAAAAAGCCACAUCUUUAUGCAUCAAAAUAUUUGACCUAUAUUGACCCAAUUAUUUGAUCAACGAACUAAGUUACCCU
rnacentral:rRNA from 1 species